rnacentral:rRNA from 1 species
UUUCGGAUUGUAAAGUGCUUUCAGCAGGGAAGAAGAAAGUGACGGUACCUGCAGAAGAAGCGACGGCUAAAUACGUGCCAGCAGCCGCGGUAAUACGUAUGUCGCAAGCGUUAUCCGGAAUUAUUGGGCAUAAAGGGCAUCUAGGCGGCCAGACAAGUCUGGGGUGAAAACUUGCGGCUCAACCGCAAGCCUGCCCUGGAAACUGUUUGGCUAGAGUGCUGGAGAGGUGGACGGAACUGCACGAGUAGAGGUGAAAUUCGUAGAUAUGUGCAGGAAUGCCGAUGAUGAAGAUAGUUCACUGGACGGUAACUGACGCUGAAGUGCGAAAGCUGGGGGAGCGAACAGGAUUAGAUACCCUGGUAGUCCCAGCCGUAAACGAUGAUUACUGGGUGUGGGCAUGAAGAGUGUCCGUGCCGAAGCUAAUGCGAUAAGUAAUCCGCCUGGGGAGUACGGCCGCAAGGCUGAAACUCAAAGGAAUUGACGGGGACCCGCACAAGCGGUGGAGCAUGUGGUUUAAUUCGACGCAACGCGAGGAACCUUACCAGAUCUUGACAUCCUACGAAUGCCUGUGAGAACAGGCAGUGCCUUCGGGAACGUGGAGACAGGUGGUGCAUGGCUGUCGACAGCUCGUGUCGUGAGAUGUUGGGUUAAGUCCCGCAACGAGCGCAACCCCUAUCGCUAGUUGCCAUCAUUAAGUUGGGGACUCUAGCGAGACUGCCUGCGAAGAGCAGGAGGAAGGUGGGGAUGACGUCAAGUCAUCAUGCCCCUUAUGAUCUGGGCUACACACGUGCUACAAUGGCCGGUACAAAGAGCUGCAAAACGGUAACGUUUAGCCAAUCUUUAAAGCCGGUCCAAGUUCGGAUUGAAGUCUGCAACUCGACUUCAUGAA